GCGAUGGCAUUUUUUCCUCUUCAGUUUUUCUUUUGUUAUUUAUUUAUUUUUUUCUUUUAAACAAACCUUACUACUGUUGGUAUAUAUUCUGUAACCCCCUUUGUUGUACGUGUUAAGCUCACGUCUCGGCUCGAAUUUGUCUAUACCCUACUCCCCCCUUCUAGACUCGUAGCUGGCUCGUUUGACAUUUCCGAGAAAAACAAAAAAGUAUAUUCGUGUCAACCGACACGCAUCUCUUUGUGUUUAGAGUGUGACACCCUGAAAGGUAAAAGAACAAAAACUCCUUUUUCGUUUUCUUUUUUGGCAAAUAGCGAUUUGCCUGGGUUAUUUUUGUUUCCCGAGUGCGUCUGGUUGUGUGUGUGUGGCUUCAUUUAGAUUCUGAUUAAUCGAGAUCGAUGGUAUAGUCGAGAAAAAUAUGGUAGGGUCGUUAAA